rnacentral:rRNA from 1 species
UACGGGGGGGAGCAAGCGUUGUUCGGAUUUACUGGGCGUAAAGGGCGCGUAGGCGGUCGUGACAAGUCACUUGUGAAAUCUCCGGGCUUAACUCGGAACGGUCAAGUGAUACUGUCGGACUAGAGUACAGAAGGGGCAACUGGAAUUCUCGGUGUAGCGGUGAAAUGCGUAGAUAUCAGAGGAACACCUGCGGCGGAAGGCGGGUUGCUGGGCUGAUACUGAC